GGAAUAUUGGACAAUGGACGCAAGUCUGAUCCAGCCAUGCCGCGUGCAGGAAGAAUGCCCUAUGGGUUGUAAACUGCUUUUAUUUGGGAAUAAACCCCUUUACGUGUAGAGGUCUGAAUGUACCAAAUGAAUAAGCACCGGCUAACUCCGUUCCACCAGCCGCGGUAAUACGGAGGGUGCAAGCGUUAUCCGGAAUCAUUGGGUUUAAAGGGUCCGCAGGCGGACGUAUAAGUCAGUGGUGAAAUCCUACAGCUUAACUGUAGAACUGCCAUUGAUACUGUAUGUCUUGAAUUCGGUCGAAGUGGGCGGAAUAUGUCAUGUAGCGGUGAAAUGCUUAGAUAUGACAUAGAACACCGAUAGCGAAGGCAGCUCACUAGGCCUGGAUUGACGCUCAGGGAAGAAAGCGUGGGGAGCG
rnacentral:rRNA from 1 species